UACGUAGGGUGCAAGCGUUAAUCGGAAUUACUGGGCGUAAAGCGUGCGCAGGCGGUUCUAUAAGGCAGAUGUGAAAUCCCCGGGCUCAACCUGGGAACUGCAUUUGUGACUGUAGAGCUGGAGUGCGGCAGAGGGGGAUGGAAUUCCGCGUGUAGCAGUGAAGUGCGUAGAUAUGCGGAGGAACACCGAUGGCGAAGGCAAUCCCCUGGGCCUGCACUGACGCUCAUGCACGAAAGCGUGGGGAGCAAACAGG
rnacentral:rRNA from 1 species